rnacentral:rRNA from 1 species
ACGCUCGACACCUACGGGAGGCUGCAGUGGGGAAUAUUGCACAAUGGGGGAAACCCUGAUGCAGCGACGCCGCGUGAGUGAAGAAGUAUUUCGGUAUGUAAAGCUCUAUCAGCAGGGAAGAAGAUGACGGUACCUGAGUAAGAAGCCCCGGCUAACUACGUGCCACAGCCGCGGUAAUCUGAGCGGGCUGGCAAGGC